UACGUAGGGUGCAAGCGUUGUCCGGAAUUAUUGGGCGUAAAGAGCUCGUAGGCGGUCUGUUGCGUCGGCUGUGAAAACCCGGGGCUCAACCCCGGGCCUGCAGCCGAUACGGGCAGACUAGAGUUCGGCAGGGGAGACUGGAAUUCCUGGUGUAGCGGUGAAAUGCGCAGAUAUCAGGAGGAACACCAAUGCGAAGGCAGCUCGCUGGGACGGUACUGACGCUGAGACGCGAAAGCGUGGGGAGCAAACAGG
rnacentral:rRNA from 1 species